rnacentral:tRNA from 1 species
GGAAAGUUGCAGGAGUGGUUGAACUGGCACGCCUGGAGAGCGUGUGUAUCAGUAAUGGUACCGAGGGUUCGAAUCCCUCACUUUCCG